AUUGGACGCUGGCGGCAUGCUUUACACAUGCAAGUCGAACGGUAACAGGCCGCAAGGUGCUGACGAGUGGCGAACGGGUGAGUAAUGCAUCGGAACGUGCCCAGUCGUGGGGGAUAACUACUCGAAAGAGUAGCUAAUACCGCAUACGAUCUAUGGAUGAAAGCGGGGGACCGUAAGGCCUCGCGCGAUUGGAGCGGCCGAUGUCAGAUUAGGUAGUUGGUGGGGUAAAGGCUCACCAAGCCAACGAUCUGUAGCUGGUCUGAGAGGACGACCAGCCACACUGGGACUGAGACACGGCCCAGACUCCUACGGGAGGCAGCAGUGGGGAAUUUUGGACAAUGGGCGCAAGCCUGAUCCAGCAAUGCCGCGUGCAGGAAGAAGGCCUUCGGGUUGUAAACUGCUUUUGUACGGAACGAAACGGCUCUGGUUAAGACCCGGGGCUAAUGACGGUACCGUAAGAAUAAGCACCGGCUAACUACGU
rnacentral:rRNA from 1 species